GCCAACAUGGCAUAGUGGUUUGAGUGUUAGACUGUGACUUUGGAGACCAGGGUUCAAUUCCCAGCUUUGUCA